rnacentral:rRNA from 1 species
UACGUAGGGGGCUAGCGUUGUCCGGAAUCAUUGGGCGUAAAGGGCGCGUAGGUGGUUCUGUAUGUCUACCGUGAAAGCGUACGGCUCAACCGUAUUUUGUCGGUAGAAACUGCAGGACUUGAGGCUGGGGAGGGGCUGGCGGAAUUCCCUGUGUAGCGGUGAAAUGCGUAGAGAUGGGGGAGAACACUCGUGGCGAAGGCGGCCAGCUAGACCAGUUCUGACACUGAGGCGCGACAGCGUGGGGAGCAAACAGG